rnacentral:lncRNA from 1 species
UAACAAUAGUGUACUGGACACCUCAAAUGGCUACAGAUGUCUUAUACAAUGAUCCACUUCAUGGUUUCAAUGAACGGGGGAAGACAGAAUAGCCAUUUUGUACCAAAUAUAAUCUGCAAAUAGCAACCUCCUACUUUCACAAAGCCAGGCACUUCUGGUAUUAUUACCUUUUCAUGACUUUCAGGGAAAAAAAAAAAAAAAAACUUCCCUGCAUAAACCCUCUGGAGAGUCUGAUCGUCCUUAAACUUUAUCUCUUGCUAUGCCAACAUCUGUUUGGAAGACAGUGUGCGCCUUGGGUUGUAAGACUCUGCAAUUCUCGAAUGUGAGUGUGCAAGAAGCUGGCACUGCUGCACGCAUCUGUAACCCCAGCACUUGAGAGGCAGAAGGAAAAGGACCUUGAGUUCAAGUCCAGCCUGGGCUUUAUAAUGAGUUUGAGGUUAGCCUGAGGCCCUGCCUCAAAUAAAUGCAUAGGUGAACCACGUGCAUGAAAACUCACUGGAGGAUAGUGAUAAGCAGGAAACUCUAUCCAAUACAGCUGAGUGGGGCGGAAGGUUCUAGAUCUCUAAGAUCAGGGGCUGCUUCCAGCCAGUGGGACAGAUGUUUAGCAGCACAGAGCUGUACUAGGCAAGCCCUUGCAGACACUACCCUUCUAGAAAAAUGGCAGCUGGAACUGACCCAUCAGACUCUCCGCUUUCUGGGGGCUUAAUUAUUCUGAGUUUUUAAUUAUUCUGACUCUUUGGAGUCUGAUUUGCAGACCACAUUGAUGUUAGGACCCAACAGUGCUAUAGGGAAGUAGAAAAGUCAUGGCUGUUUUAAAGCCUAUACAAGCAAGGGAGACCCACAGGUUGAGAACUGCUACUUUAAAGUCUAGUAUGGGGUAAUCGUUUGCUAGACUGGAAAAUCGUUGCAAAGACUGGAAAAAAAAGAACAAAAUUAAUAACAGGUUAUUUCCAGGUUAAAAUAAAUAAAUAAAAUUUCCAUUUUUCCUUAGUCAUCCGAUGUAUUUGAAGUGUGUAGUCCAGAAACCCAAGUGAAAGUUUGCAACAUUCAGUUAUCAAUGUCUGGCAACUCGACCUUUCAACUCCACUGUGUUAAUCCUGUGCCCUGUGGUUGUCAUGGCAACACUGAUAACUGACUCUGGGCCUUUCCUCUAGACUAUCAAACUAUUUAGGUCAUGUCAAUAAAAUUUCCUAGUCUGUCGCCCUAGAAACUAAGAGCUGGGGAGUGUUUGGGGCACAAUUUCUGAAUAAUAAAGAGGCAUUUUGAGGUCUGAAUAUUUCUCAUGCUGCGGAAUUCUACCUGGUUGGGCACUGUGGUGUAUAGCUGAAAUCCUAGCACUUGGAAGGUUGAUGCAGGAGGACCAUGAGUUCAAGACCACCCUGGACUCCAUAGUGAGUUUCAGGCAGGUCUGCACAUGUAUUCGUGUGUGCGUGUGCGCAUGUGUGCAUGAGCACAUGAGUGUACACACACACAUACACCCCUUCAUCUGAGAUCACACACAGAGCCCUGCAGGUGCUCUUCUGGCCAGAUGCCAGUUUCAUUCUUUCCUCACUGAGGACAAAGUCUGCAACCACAUUGUCUUCCCACCCACAGACACCUGCCUUAGUGAGUCUGUGUGGUGAGACACCGAGGCAGCACUGCAGUGGAUCCGUCCUGAUGCACCUUGGAACAAACAGAGAUAGUAAAGGGCUGACUGGAAGGCGAGCAAACAUUAACUCUGGAUCUUGGUUGCUGCUGUAAAGACUCCACUCUGUGCAAAUGUCCAAAGCAUUUCAAAGCAACAAACCUGAGCAUCAACGGCAGUCGACAGAGUCUGUGCCCUCCUUUCUUCAUCCUCUUUCCAGAGUUGCUAUCUGAAACUGACUAUUUUUCCUUCUUUCAUGUGUUCAUGGGUGACAUAACUAGAGAGCCUUUGCUGUUUCCAGUAUUUUUUAUGCAAGUAGCCUUGAGUAUGAAGAUGUUAUAUGUGAGAUGCAUCCCUGCCAAAAUAUUUAUUUCAUGCUGUCUCAUUUAUUGCACCGUAUGAACAAAAAUUAUUCUUCUCUUACCCAUAGUCCUGUGCAUGAGUAUUUAAAAUGUUUAAAUUGGGGGCUGGAAAGACGGCUCAGCAGUUAAGAGCACUGGCUGCUCUUGCUGAGGGCCAGAACAAUUUCAAUUUCUAGCACCUGCAUGGCAGCUCACAACCACCUGUCACUUCAGUUCUGGGAAAUUCAACACCAUUUUCUGGCCUCUGCUGGGUAUCACACUCACACAGAUACAUACAUACACAUAAAUAAAUAGUACAAUAAAUCUUUAAAAAAUAAAUAAAAAGUUUAAAUUGUUCACUCUCACAAAUGACAGCUUUCAGGAACAUACUUGUUGGUGUGUAUGUGUGCAUGUAUGUCUGCACGUGUGUGUGUGUGUG